rnacentral:ncRNA from 2 species
CGAUGAGGUAGAGGUUGCAGUUAUUAAGAGUAGCUAACCAGAGACUUUAUGGAGUUUAUGACGGUUUGUCAAAAGGAAUAACUGCCGAAGUAUGAAAGAUCCACAUUAUCUUUCCAUACUGGGUUUGCAUCUAACAGGUGUAAAACUGUCACAGAAAUAUUCUGUGGAGAGCUAUUUUAGAG